GAGUUUGAUCCUGGCUCAGGAUGAACGCUGACAGAAUGCUUAACACAUGCAAGUCGAUGGGGAAGCGGUGCUUGCACCGUGAAACCAUGGCGGACGGGUGAGUAACGCGUAAAGAACUUGCCGAAUGGACUGGGAUAACAGCUGGAAACGGCUGAUAAGACCGGAUAUUAUGAACUUGCUGCAUAGUGAGUUUAUGAAAAGAGAUGCCAUUUGAGAGCUUUGCGUCCUAUUAGCUAGUUGGUAAGGUAACGGCUUACCAAGGCGAUGAUAGGUAGCCGGCCUGAGAGGGUGGACGGCCACAAGGGGACUGAGAUACGGCCCUUACUCCUACGGGAGGCAGCAGUGGGGAAUAUUGGACAAUGGGGGCAACCCUGAUCCAGCAAUUCUGUGUGCACGAAGAAGGUUUUCGGAUCGUAAAGUGCUUUCAGCAGGGAGGAAGAAAGUGACUGUACCUGCAGAAGAAGCGACGGCUAAAUACGUGCCAGCAGCCGCGGUAAUACGUAUGUCGCGAGCGUUAUCCGGAAUUAUUGGGCAUAAAGGGCAUCUAGGCGGCCAGAUAAGUCCGAGGUGAAAACUGCCGGCUCAACCAGCAGCUUGCCUUGGAAACUACCUGGCUAGAGUAUUGGAGAGGUGGACGGAACUACACGAGUAGAGGUGAAAUUCGUAGAUAUGUGUAGGAAUGCCGAUGAUGAAGAUAGUUCACUGGACGAUAACUGACGCUGAAGUGCGAAAGCUAGGGGAGCGAACAGGAUUAGAUACCCUGGUAGUCCUAGCUGUAAACGAUGAUUACUGGGUGUGGGCAUGAAGAGUGUCCGUGCCGAAGUUAAUGCGAUAAGUAAUCCGCCUGGGGAGUACGGCCGCAAGGCUGAAACUCAAAGGAAUUGACGGGGACCCGCACAAGCGGUGGAGCAUGU
rnacentral:rRNA from 1 species